rnacentral:rRNA from 1 species
AGAGUUUGAUUCUGGCUCAGAUUGAACGCUGGCGGCGUGCUUAACACAUGCAAGUCGAACGUGAAAGUCCUUCGGGAUGAGUAAAGUGGCGCACGGGUGAGUAACGCGUGGAUAAUCUACCCUUAAGAUGGGGAUAACGGCUGGAAACGGUCGCUAAUACCGAAUACGCUCCCGAUUUUAUCGUUGGGGGGAAAGAUGGCCUCUGCUUGCAAGCUAUCGCUUAAGGAUGAGUCCGCGUCCCAUUAGCUAGUUGGCGGGGUAACGGCCCACCAAGGCGACGAUGGGUAGCCGGUCUGAGAGGAUGACCGGCCACACUGGAACUGGAACACGGUCCAGACUCCUACGGGAGGCAGCAGUGGGGAAUAUUGCGCAAUGGGCGAAAGCCUGACGCAGCGACGCCGCGUGAGGGAUGAAGGUUCUCGGAUCGUAAACCUCUGUCAGGGGGGAAGAAACCCCCUCGUGUGAAUAAUGCGAGGGCUUGACGGUACCCCCAAAGGAAGCACCGGCUAACUCCGUGCCAGCAGCCGCGGUAAUACGGAGGGUGCAAGCGUUAAUCGGAAUCACUGGGCGUAAAGCGCACGUAGGCGGCCCGGUAAGUCAGGGGUGAAAUCCCACAGCCCAACUGUGGAACUGCCCUUGAUACUGCCGGGCUUGAGUACCGGAGAGGGUGGCGGAAUUCCAGGUGUAGGAGUGAAAUCCGUAGAUAUCUGGAGGAACACCGGUGGCGAAGGCGGCCACCUGGACGGUAACUGACGCUGAGGUGCGAAAGCGUGGGUAGCAAACAGGAUUAGAUACCCUGGUAGUCCACGCCGUAAACGAUGGGUGCUGGGUGCUGGGAUGUAUGUCUCGGUGCCGUAGCCAACGCGAUAAGCACCCCGCCUGGGGAGUACGGUCGCAAGGCUGAAACUCAAAGAAAU